AGUUGUUGAAAAUAUGACGAAAAAAUGUGGUCUUUAGAGAAAUACAAGCCAUGUGUAUUACAGAAUUUACAAAUACAUUUAUUAUAUUUAAAAUAUUUAAAAGACAGGUAGAAUCGGGUUGAGUAGUUAAUUACGUUCUUGAGGAAUAAUGGUCUGAAAACAGAACAAGAAAUCUUCGGUCUCAUCUUCGUCACACUCCGCACAGUAGGUGGCGGUAUUCACCUUUACAGUUGGUUUGCAACCCUCUAAUAAAUCCACAGAAGACGAAAUAGUAGUUGCCUAGCAACGUCAUGUAACCGAGAACGCAUCAGCGCAGCUCGUUAAUUGCGUGCAGGUACACAACACUUAAUCGGUGUCGAUUGUAUUUUAAGCGUGCGUGUUGUUGGAAUAUUACAUGUAUUUAUGCACAUCUAGACCUGUGGCUAGUAUCACGAAGCGAGGUUGGACAUGAGAUUUAAAAGCGCGGCUCUGUUUCCACUCGAUUCUGAGUGCCGUGUGGACUCUCUCUCUCUCUGUCUUACACACACACCUCUCCCCACCUACCUCCGAGACAAGACUCAUCAUUAACCUUUUGGCAUCUGUAAACUCCUCAGACAGAAGGACGGCAGGGGAGCGAUGUGAGAGCAUUUGUCUCUUCAGCAGCACACAACUGUGUUCCUCCUGCUAAUGUUUUAUGUCAAUUAAAUCUAAAUGGUAGUUUUGAGUUUAAAAAUGAAUUAAUAUCUACUCUGAGUUAGUUUUUUAAAAGACUGGAGAUCUAUCAGAUGUCAUAAUAUUAUAAUGUUUCGAUAUUGAUGUGAAGUCAAACUUUACUCAGUAGGAGUUUUGACACGGCAGGAGGCUGAUGAUGUUGAAUUCUUGUGUAUUUACAGUUUACAAAUCUCUCCUGCUGUUUAACUCCACAACCUCUCACACAACAGCUGCUGUUUCUUUGAUUUCUCAUUUCACUUAAACAUUUACUGCAUAUAAACAUUCUUUAAAAAACAUUUAGUUAAUUCAUACUGAAUGUAUUUUUUUAAUCAAUAUUAGAAUGAUUUGCCAAAGAAGUGCAGUGUUAUUAAAAUAUGUGUUUUGAGUUGGGUUGGUGUCAUGUCCGUAUGUUAACCUGCCCA